GCGGCGCGCGCGGGCUCGAGAGCGUCGCGCGGUCACUGAUGAGCUUCACAUCCCAGGCCCUGACUGGGGCCGUCAGCACCGUUAAGUUCUUCCUCUCUGAGGCUUUCCUGGGUCAGCACUUCGAGGCCGUGGAGUUGCAGGGCAGCGAGCCUGAGUCCGGAGACCUCUUCCCGUUCAGGCUGAUGUCCCCCAACGGACGCUGGUGGGGGCCCACGUGGGCGUGUAUUGCGGCCACGGAGAGAUCAUCCACUUCGAGGGCAAGAAUCCCAGCAGUCACAGGCCGCACAUGUUUCUGGGCUCCUGCGAAGGGGUUGUAUCCAAACGGGCAGCGCCCGCUGUUGCGCUCCCGCUCGCUGUGGCGUGUGCUGCGUAGACGCGGCGGCAUUGACCGCGCCGGGCUGGAGCGCCGCAUGCGCGAAGCCAUGGACGCGGACCCGCCUCCCUAUCACCCCACGCACAGCAACUGCGUGCACUUUGCACUGCGUCUGCUCGGCCCAGGGCCCAGCCUGGACCCCCUACAAAUAGACCGGAGUCCCAUUUCGGUGUCAGUGGACGUGGACUUGACGGUGGACUAGGCAUGAACUCAAGCCCUCCUGGGUGGGCAUGGGGGCUUCAGAAAUGGUCAUUAAACUGUUUUCCA
rnacentral:lncRNA from 1 species